rnacentral:lncRNA from 1 species
AAAUUGACUGACAUGCCUUACCACUCGCGAGCUGAUUUGGAGCCAACACUGUAUUUAAGCAGAUCUCCUAGGUCCUCCGUGUUGUUCAACGCAGAAGACUGAGGUACAAAUUUUGCGUCAACACCGCCACCCCACUGCCUCGCCGCCGCCGCUACCCCGCUGGAGCCCAGAGUGCCACAGCAGCGCCGGAUUCGGUCGCCGCGCAUGGAGAGAGGGAGAGAGAGGGAGGAGGGAGGGAGAGUACCGCCGCCGCUGCACCCACGCUAAACGCCGCCACACGCGCCACGCCGCUACUACAUUGUCGCCGUCACCAUCAGCCAACCUCGCCCCUACACUUUGUCCCCGUGCACCACCACCACUCGUCGCCCUGCCGCCGCUCCUCACACAGCUACUAAUGAGGGGGGCGCGGAAGGGGGACGAGAGGAGCAGUAGAGGGAGAGGAGGCUUAGAUCCGGCAAGAGGGAGAGAGGGGCCGGAGUCAGGAGAGAGAAGUGGAGAGGGCCGGGGGAGGAGAGUGGAGGGGCUGCGGGAGGAAGCGAGAAGGAGGAGAAAAG